GACGAACGCUGGCGGCAGGCCUAACACAUGCAAGUCGAACGCGUGGCGGACGGGUGAGUAAUGUCUGGGAAACUGCCUGAUGGAGGGGGAUAACUACUGGAAACGGUAGCUAAUACCGCAUACCAUCAGAUGUGCCCAGAUGGGAUUAGCUUGUUGGUGGGGUAACGGCUCAACAGGGCGACGAUCCCUAGCUGGACUGAGAGGAUGACCAGCAACACUGGAACUGAUACACGGUCCAGACUCCUACGGGAGGCAGCAGUGGGGAAUAUUGCACAAUGGGCGCAAUCCUUAUGCAGCCAUGCCGAGUGUAUGAAGAAGGCCUUCGGUUUGUAAAGUACUUUCAGCGGGGAGGCGUUACCCGCAGAAGAAGCACCGGCUAACUCCGUGCCAGCAGCCGCGGUAAUAC
rnacentral:rRNA from 1 species